GAAAUUUUUAUACAUUAAAUUCAUCAAUUUUUCUUUUAUUGCCUUUGGAUUUUGAGUCAUACUUAGAAGGUCUUUUUACACACUCAGAUUAAAGAGGAAUUCAUCCAUGCUCUUUUCUAUUAUCUGCAUGGUUUCAUUUUUUAUAUUUAGAUCUCUAAUUUAGUUAGAGUUUAUUCUUGUAUACUGUGUGAGAUAUGGGUCUAAUUUUAUUUUUUGCCCAAAUGACUACCCAUUUGUCAAAAAAAAUUUCUAGAACUUCCAUCUUUACCCCUCAAUGAUUUGAGAUGCCACCUUUAUCUUAUACUAAAUUUCCAUAUAUAUUUGGGUUUAUUUCUGGACUUUUUAUUCUAGUCCACUGAUUUAUUUGCCUAUUUAUAUGACAGCACUAUACUGUUUUAAUUACAGAGUCUUUAUGGUAUAUUUGGUAUUUUUGUUGGGAUUGCAUAAAAUUUAUAAAUUAACUUAGGGAGAAGUAGCAUCUUCACAAUGUUGAGUCAUCAUAUCCAAGAAAAGAGUCUGUCUGUUUUUUUAAACUGACUUUUGUGUCUUUCAAGAAUGACUUAUAGUUGUCGUCAGGUAAGUUUUGCAUAUUUCUUGUUAAAUUUAAUUCUAAGUAUUUAAUCUCCUUUGUUGCAAUUGUAAAUGAGGUUCUCUCUACCAUAUGUCCUCUAACUAUGUAUUGUUUGUGUACAUGAAUGGUAUUGAUUUUAUAUUCGGAUAUAUUACUGAAUUCUUUUACAGUUUAAGUUAGUUUUACCAUUAAUUCUCUGGGAGUUUACAGGUACAACAUCUUAUCAUCUGCAAAUAAAGACAGUUCUAUUUCUUUACCCAUUCUUAUACUGCUAGUUGCUAUCUCUUGUCUGAUUAUGGAUUUACUUCGUUGUCUCUACUAAGCAAGAGCCAUCUCCGGGGCUUGGGGGAGUGAUGGUAGCUUCUUCACAGGGAAAGGCUGGGAUCCUUGGCCUAAGAACAACAGAUGGUUAUUAGAAAUAAAGGAGGAUAAGAACUUCAAAACCAAUUAUAUGGCUUUUGUUUUGAAAUUUCUACUAAUCUAUGGCAAAGUCUGUCAAUGUGAAAUAAAAGCAUCAUAAUGAUUUGCACUUGAUACUUCCUUUGUAGAACAUGUGUUGUCUUUAGGUCCAGCCUUUGGGGAGAUCUGGUAUUUGUCAUUCAGGUUCUAUUUGACUGCUAAUUUACUUUAAAAGUUCAUUUUCCUUAUACAGAGGAUUAUUUUCUCCAAAGAUGAAAUGUAACACUUCAAUCUCCAAUGAAAAGGAAAGACUUA
rnacentral:lncRNA from 1 species